rnacentral:rRNA from 1 species
AGCGAACGCUGGCGGCAGGCCUAACACAUGCAAGUCGAACGAACUCUUCGGAGUUAGUGGCGGACGGGUGAGUAACACGUGGGAACGUGCCUUUAGGUUCGGAAUAACUCAGGGAAACUUGUGCUAAUACUGGAUGUGCCCUUCGGGGGAAAGAUUUAUCGCCUUUAGAGCGGCCCGCGUCUGAUUAGCUAGUUGGUGAGGUAAAGGCUCACCAAGGCGACGAUCAGUAGCUGGUCUGAGAGGAUGAUCAGCCACAUUGGGACUGAGACACGGCCCAAACUCCUACGGGAGGCAGCAGUGGGGAAUCUUGCGCAAUGGGCGAAAGCCUGACGCAGCCAUGCCGCGUGAAUGAUGAAGGUCUUAGGAUUGUAAAAUUCUUUCACCGGGGACGAUAAUGACGGUACCCGGAGAAGAAGCCCCGGCUAACUUCGUGCCAGCCGCCGCAGUAA